UAGAGUUUGAUCCUGGGAAGGAUGAACGCUAGCGGCAGGCCUAACACAUGCAAGUCGAGGGGUAUAAGAAGCUUGCUUUUUAGAGACCGGCGCACGGGUGAGUAACGCGUAUGCAACCUACCUUAUACAGGGGAAUAGCCCGAAGAAAUUCGGAUUAAUGCUCCAUGGUUUAUCGAUAUGGCAUCGUAUUGAUAAUAAAGAUUUAUCGGUGUAAGAUGGGCAUGCGUAUCAUUAGCUAGUUGGUGUGGUAACGGCAUACCAAGGCAACGAUGAUUAGGGGUCCUGAGAGGGAGAUCCCCCACACUGGUACUGAGAUACGGACCAGACUCCUACGGGAGGCAGCAGUGAGGAAUAUUGGUCAAUGGAGGCAACUCUGAACCAGCCAUGCCGCGUGCAGGAUGACGGUCCUAUGGAUUGUAAACUCCUUUCACCAUCGACGAAGGGUUUCUGACGGUAGAUGGAGAAGAAGCACCGGCUAACUACGUGCCAGCAGCCGCGGUAAU
rnacentral:rRNA from 1 species